GCUAACUACGGGCCGGGAGGAGGGGUAAUAGGUAGGGUGCAAGGGUGAAGUGGAAUGACGGGGCGGAAAGCGUGCGCAGGCGGUUAUAUAAGAGAGAGGUGAAAUCCCCGGGCUCAACCUGGGAACUGCAUUUGUGACUGUAUGGCUAGAGUACGGCAGAGGGGGAUGGAAUUCCGCGUGUAGCAGUGAAAUGCGUAGAUAUGCGGAGGAACACCGAUGGCGAAGGCAAUCCCCUGGGCCUGUACUGACGCUCAUGCACGAAAGCGUGGGGAGCAAACAGGAUUAGAUACCCGGGUAGUC
rnacentral:rRNA from 1 species